ACUUUUGGACAAUUAGCGCAAGCCUCAUCCAGCCAUUCCGCGUGAGUGAAGAAGGCCUUCGGGUUGUAAAGCUCUUUCGGUCGGAAAGAAAUGGCGUUGUUUUAUACCUUGCGUGGAUGACGGUACCGUCACAAGAAGCACCGGCUAACUACGUGCUAGCAGCCGCGGUAAUACGUAGGGUGCGAGCGUUAAUCGGAAUUACUGGGCGUAAAGCGUGCGCAGGCGGUUGAUUAAGACAGGCGUGAAAUCCACGGGCUUAACCUGGGAACUGCGCUUGUGACUGGUCAGCUAGAGUACGGCAGAGGGGGGUGGAAUUCCACGUGUAGCAGUGAAAUGCGUAGAGAUGUGGAGGAACACCGAUGGCGAAGGCAGCACCCUGGGCCGAUACUGAAGCUCAUGCACGAAAGCGUGGGUAGCAAACAGG
rnacentral:rRNA from 1 species